ensembl:ncRNA C29A12.13 ncRNA
UCUUCUUCUUCGGCUUCAUCUCCAGCUGCAGCAGCUUCUUCCUAUUCUCACAGAUGUUUUCCAUCUCAUCCACACUCUAGUCUUCUUAACCCCAAACGACCGGCUUCAUGAUGAAAUGACGUGAAAAAUGCAUGAGGUGUGAGAACUCUC